rnacentral:lncRNA from 1 species
UUGUAUAGAGCCUUUACAUCCAAACUUUCAGUCAUUAUAAAGCGCACCAAAGUGCUAGGCGUGUUAUCUUUAUUCUCAAUAUGUGCAAGUUGCCAUCAAUUUUUCAUACUAAAAAAUGAGGAAUAUAUUAAUUUAUACACUUGUAUUAAUAGUUUCAGUAGUAUACCUGCAGUCAAAAGGUGAUAAACCUCUUCAUGAAAUUUUGAUAAAACUGUUGCCCUCCACCUUUACGUUAAUGACAAGUUUGAUUAUCCGCCGCCCAACCAGUAAUCGUAAUUAGAGAAAUUCGAGCACAUUUGUUUGUUUACGACAAACAAUGGCGGCAUAUUGACCGAAUAUAAUCGAGGAGGGUAGAUAAUGUGUAACGUAAGAAUCAUCAUAUAUUUCAAGACAAUGAUAAUUACUUAUAAGUUAACUUAAUUACUCGUCAACUACCUUAACCGAAGUGGCAAAAAGAAUAAGAAAAUGACAUGCAGGCACUGCACGCAGCUUUUUUAUAUAUUUACAGACAAAGAAAAAAACUGAUUAAAAAAUAUUGAUCAUAUACAUAUCAAUUAUCAUGAGAGCUAUAUAACACGCAGUUUGAUAAUACCACAGCAAUUUUUGACGUACCUGCAUUGAUAUAUACAGAUGCAAACUGCUUCUCUCUUCAUCUGGGACCAGAACAUUUGCC